CCCAUUGGCUUCCCCCCUCCCUUCCCCUCACGCGCGCGACCUCGUCGUUGUCGUCGGCUCGGAGAUCUCGCCUUCCCGCCGGCAGCAGCCAUGGACGCCGUCGACUCCGUGGUGGACCCCCUCCGCGAGUUCGCCAAGGACAGCAUCCGCCUCGUCAAGAGCUGCCACAAGCCCGACCGCAAGGAGUUCACCAAGGUGGCGGCGCGGAUGGUGAUCGGGUUCAUCGUCAUGGGGUUCAUCGGCUUCUUCGUCAAGCUCAUCUUCAUCCCCAUCAACAACAUCAUCGUCGGCUCCGGCUAG
rnacentral:rRNA from 1 species